GUAGACUUUAGAACACUCCAAUUGUGUGUAAUUUUCUCCUCCUCUUCCUCCUCUUCAUCAAUAUCAGACAAGCACAAAUAGAAGGAUGAAGUUUGUGACUCAUGGAUAAAGACUCCAUCGUAAGAAAAAUGAAUUCUAUUAUCAUUGUCCGCAGAUGCAUGGUAAUCUCUCUAUUGAGAUAAAGAAAAAAUUGCUGUGUAUUAUAAUUUAAGCAUUAAAUAGACACUAAUUGAUGAACUUGAAGUCUGACUCAUAAACAAAUAGUUCUGAUGGUUCACUCAUCUCAUCAUUUCAUGAACGGGCCUAAAUAUAUUAGUACAGUUCUUUUUUAUGUAUAAGUGCACAUUUGUGUCAACUUUUCGAUAAUGCUGAAUUGAAUUUUACCAAAAUCAAGAGGCACAUAUUCUCCAUGCAUCCCAAAACACCAAUCCAGUUGAAUCUUUCUUUCUGUAAUGAAUGUGUACAUGAAAUUCCUUUAUAAAAUAGGAUGCUUUGCUUCACAAAAGGCAUUGAUUGUUUCAACAAAAACCUUUCCAUGUCGGAUAAGGUCAAUGGAAAACCCUAUAUAUUUUCCAUUUUUUUUUCAAAUUUCCUGACAUUUGCCUUCUAAGUUGAAAGCACAAUAUGAUUGCAGUCAGUAGUUCAUCUAACAAAGAAGAAAGAGGAUCUAGUGCACCAUGAUCCAUCAUUAAUAGAUUUUCAAGUUGAAUUAAUAAAGAAUUAGAACUCCAGAACAUGGGCUCAUGUGGUAAGGAUAAAGGGAAAGUAGGGCCAAAUCUUACUUGCCAAGGAAAUGUACUGACCAUUUUAUCCUUUAUUAGAAUACAACCAAAAAAUGUAACUGCCUAUCUGUAUCUAAAAGCCUCAGUAGAUAACUUACAGCAGAAACUGGGAAUAAAUGAAAAGUUUUAGAAAUUGCAUCCACAAACUAGAUUGAAGAACGUGUACAAGUCAGUUAAAGCAUUCUAUCUGGAAAAUUUUAAGAAGUUUUUGAAGAUUAGGAUCACGUGCACAAUUUGAUCCAAUAUGGAACUUGUUAAAUAUAAACAAUAGGAAAAACAGAUAAUGUCAGGCCACAAACGGAGAAUCAUUGCAGUCUAAAGGUUGUAGGAGGAACAGAGGGAAGGAAAAGAUCUCCUUGAAACAUAACAAAAAGAACUGGAAAUAUAUUUCUUCCUAAUAAAAGAAAUUCAUAAGCCAUUUUGGUAAAUGAAUAAACCAAGUUGAUCUUUUUUUGUGAAUUACCUCAAGUU
rnacentral:misc_RNA from 1 species